rnacentral:lncRNA from 1 species
AAAUGAGGAUUUCUUAGUUGAUCAUUUGUCAUCCACUUUGGAGGCAGAACUGGUUACCUUUUGCUCUGUUUCUACUUCUGCCUUCGAGUAUGUUAGAGGUGGAUGUAUGUAUAACUGUAGCACAAGCAAAACAGAUAAUAGGGCCACGACUUUUUCAGGGAGAAGGGCCAAAAUCCGUCACUACAAGCGCCAAGUUCAGAGAGAAAAAAUAUUGAAGCACCUGAAUAGGACAGUAAAUGUCAGCAGCUAUGCCGAGAUGACUUUGGCAUUAGCUGAGAUACAGUUGCGAUCAGACCUCAUUGUAAAGACACUGACUGAUUUGUAAUUGCACUUUAAAAAUCAUGAUUUAAAGUGUUUCAUAAUUAUUGGCCUCUCUUGUUAUCCUUUGUUAAUAUAAAUAUAAAAGUUUAUUAUAUAGUC